UACGUAGGGUGCAAGCGUUGUCCGGAAUUAUUGGGCGUAAAGAGCUCGUAGGCGGCUCAGUAAGUCAGGUGUGAAACCUCCAGGCUCAACCUGGAGACGCCACCUGAUACUGCUGUGGCUAGAGUCCGGUAGGGGAGCGUGGAAUUCCUGGUGUAGCGGUGAAAUGCGCAGAUAUCAGGAGGAACACCAGCGGCGAAGGCGGCGCUCUGGGCCGGAACUGACGCUGAGGAGCGAAAGCGUGGGUAGCAAACAGG
rnacentral:rRNA from 1 species